CUUGUCGGCGCCAUUUUGUCUCGGCAGCGGUGGCCGUAGCUCCAUCGCAUUUUAUGUUUCUGGCGAGAAGGGAACGGAGUUUUCAUCAGGUAGAUUGGUUUUUGUGCGGCCGUCCUCCACCGUUUCCUCCAGGACAGCACCUAGUCGUGGCCGGAGGAGUCUCAGAGCUGUCAGAAAGGUGAGCAUUUGUACAGUGAAACAUUUUGCUACACAAAAGUGAUGUUU
rnacentral:lncRNA from 1 species